GUCAGAAUGGCCGAGUGGUUAAGGCGCCAGAUUUAAGCUCUGGUUCUUGUGAAAUAUCGUGGGUUCGAACCCCACUUCUGACU